rnacentral:rRNA from 1 species
UGAGGAAUAUUGGACAAUGGGCGCAAGCCUGAUCCAGCAAUGCCGCGUGCAGGAUGAAGGCCUUCGGGUUGUAAACUGCUUUUGUACGGAGCGAAAAGGUCUGCCCUAAUACGGUGGGCUCAUGACGGUACCGUAAGAAUAAGCACCGGCUAACUACGUGCCAGCAGCCGCGGUAAUACGUAGGGUGCGAGCGUUAAUCGGAAUUACUGGGCGUAAAGCGUGCGCAGGCGGUUAUAUAAGACAGAUGUGAAAUCCCCGGGCUCAACCUGGGACCUGCAUUUGUGACUGUAUAGCUAGAGUACGGUAGAGGGGGAUAGAAUUCCGCGUGUAGCAGUGAAAUGCGUAGAUAUGCGGAGGAACACCGAUGGCGAAGGCAAUCCCCUGGACCUGUACUGACGCUCAUGCACGAGAGCGUGGGGAGCAAACA